rnacentral:rRNA from 1 species
GACGAACGCUGGCGGCGUGCUUAACACAUGCAAGUCGAACGGAAAGGCCCUGCUUUUGUGGGGUGCUCGAGUGGCGAACGGGUGAGUAACACGUGAGUAACCUGCCCUUGACUUUGGGAUAACUUCAGGAAACUGGGGCUAAUACCGGAUAGGAGCUCCUGCUGCAUGGUGGGGGUUGGAAAGUUUCGGCGGUUGGGGAUGGACUCGCGGCUUAUCAGCUUGUUGGUGGGGUAGUGGCUUACCAAGGCUUUGACGGGUAGCCGGCCUGAGAGGGUGACCGGCAACAUUGGGACUGAGAUACGGCCCAGACUCCUACGGGAGGCAGCAGUGGGGAAUAUUGCAAAAUGGGCGGAAGCCUGAUGCAGCAACGCCGCGUGCGGGAUGACGGCCUUCGGGUUGUAAACCGCUUUCGCCUGUGACGAAGCGGGAGUGACGGUAAUGGGUAAAGAAGCACCGGCUAACUACGUG